AAACGUAGGACGCAAGCGUUAUCCGGAGUACUGGGCGUAAAGCGCGGGCAGGCGGCUCGAUGCGUCUGAUGUGAAAUCUCCUCGCUCAACGGGGAGAGGGCCAUUGGAAACGGUCGGGCUGGAGGGCAGUAGAGGCAGGCGGAAUUCCGGGUGGGAGUGGUGAAAUGCGUAGAGAUCCGGAGGAACACCAGAGGCGAAGGCGGCCUGCUGGGCUGCACCUGACGCUGAACCCGCGAAAAGCCAGGGGAGCGAACGGG
rnacentral:rRNA from 1 species